CCUUUUAGUUUGUAAGCAUUCACGCGUUAAAAGAGAUAUAAGGCAAACGGUCUACGAAUGGUUUCUUUUUUGUUGUUGCUUUUUUUUUUUUCUAAAAUCAUUAAACGCACAGAUAAAAUAGACAGUUUUAAAGUAUAAAUAAAUCAAAGUAAUACAUAUAUCGAUAAAUCACACGUAUCGAUUACUUUUUUUACUUUAUUUAUUUCUAUUUUUGGUUUAUACUUUUGUUGUUGUUGUUGUUGUUUUUUCUCAACACGUUCUUUUUGUGUCACUCGAGUCAUGGUGUUCGCGUGGAAAUACAAAUGCGAGUUGAUAUAUAUUAUUUUUUGAAUCAUUAAUUACAACGACGACAUAUUGAUGACAAUGAUAAAUAAUAAUAAUAUUUUUCUUUUGAUAUUUUUAUCGACAAUUGUACUGAUUUAUCAUCAACGAACAUCAUCAUUUGCCAAUGCUUUUGGAGUUAAUGACUGUCUGGCAUUUUGUUCAAACGAAUCGUGUAUAAAUUCCUGUCACAGCAAGAUAAACGAAGAUGCAAAUGCAAAUAUCAAUUUAAAUUGUAGAGGAAAGGAUUGUAUUAUGAUCAAGCAUAAUAUGGGAAAGUAUAUUAUCGAACAAAGUACUAAUGAUCGUAUUUGGAAAACAAUCAAAAUAAGUAAUGGUAAAUUUUCUUUCAUUUCUAAUUUAAUAUCAAAUACAUCUUAUCGAUUUCGUUUGAGAAGAUUAACAGAGAAAGGUGUAUCUCGACCAGAAACAUCGGAUUGGUUUUCGACUUACAAUGUUGAUUAUGUGCCGAAGAAAGUUUUUAAUGUAUCUUUGUUGAAAAUGGAAAUAGAUAAGACCAAUGUGUGCCGACUUUCUGCAGAUAUUAGUUUUGAACCAGCGGACGAUUUGAGUUGUUAUUAUAAUGUCUUGUAUUGGCAAUAUGAACACGAUUUAAGAUACUUAACAAUACGGAAGGCUCCGACAUUUAGUUUCCAUCUUCGUAAUUUAGAAUUUGAUCGGAACACAACGGUAUAUGUUUCUUCUGUAAACGGUAUCGAUAAGGACGUCAGUGAUCAAACAACUUUAACAUUUGUUACACCUUCUUGCUUGGAAAUGCAUAAUAAUUUGAAAAUUUGUUCUCCACAAAAGGUCGAGGGACUACACAUGAUAGAUAUUUACAAACAUGAUGGUCUUUACGAUGUUAUCGUUAACUGGGAUAAACCUAGCAUAGAACCGGAUAAUUAUACGAUCCAAUUGGAAACUUUUCGAAAAGACAAAAUAUUACUUACAGUACCUGGGAAUGAAACCGAGGCACAUUUUAUUGAUAUUAAAUUGGAAAAACAAUAUAAAGUCAGUAUUAUAGCUGAUUCCAUUGGUGGUUCUAGUCCAGUAUCUAAAAUAAUAACCGAUUGUAACGUGAUGUUAGUAAAUGAAUACAGUCUUUUUCAAAACAUCAUGAUACCGUUAGUCAUUAUAAUGACGAUUUUUAUAUUGGUAACAAUUUGCAUGUUUCUGUUUAAAGGAAGAACAAAAUUAUGUCAUAAACAAUAUACGCAUUUUCAGGCUUUAAAUCAAAAGGAAUUUCCUACGAGUGUGCCUAAAUUAUUAGAAGAAAAUAAAAACAUAUCCAAUAAUGAUAAAACUCUUUUACCAUUGGAUAAGUUUGAAUUAUCUCCGAAAAAAUUACAAUUAAAAGAUAUUCUUGGAAGUGGUGCUUAUGGAAUCGUUAGACUUGGAUUGUUUCGAGAUGAUUUCGGUACUGUUAUUAACGUGGCAGUUAAAGGACUUAAAGAUAAUCCAAGUGUCGAUGAUAUAAAUAAUUUUUAUAAAGAAAUUCAAAUAAUGAAAUCAGCUGGAAAACAUCCAAAUAUAGUCUCAUUAAUUGGUUAUUGUACGAUGUAUAACAAACCAUUGUUGAUCGUUGAAUAUUGUUGCAAUGGAGAUCUGCAAACAUAUUUGAGAAAGAUAUGGAAAAAUACUAUUAACGAUAUUUUAGAUUAUAAAUCGCAAUUUAAAUUCGAUCAGUGUAUUCAUAAUUAUGAAAAUGAUCAGAAGACUGAUCGUACCGUUGAAAAUCAUUUAUAUGGCAUUCGACAGGAAUAUAUUACUGCAGUCGAUUUAUUGAAUUUUGCAAGGCAAAUCGCUAAUGGAAUGGAAUUUUUAUCAACAAAUCGAAUAGUACAUCGUGAUUUGGCAGCACGUAAUGUUUUAGUAUGCUCUGACAAUAUUGUCAAGAUAUCAGAUUUUGGUCUUAGUCGUGAUAUUUAUCAAGAAAAUGUUUAUAAAAAACAAGGAAGCGGUAAAUUGCCAUUAAAAUGGAUGGCGAUUGAAGCUUUGACACAUCAGAUAUAUACAACUCACAGUGACGUAUGGUCUUUUGGUAUUCUUUUAUGGGAAAUAAUUACGUUAGGUUGUACACCAUAUCCUGGGGUUCCCACAAGUAAUAUCUUGAAGCUUUUAAAAACAGGAUAUAGAAUGGAAAAGCCACCAAAUUGUGGAGAAAAUUUAUAUAAUAUAAUGUAUUCGUGUUGGCAUAUCAGACCUCAAAGCAGACCGACUUUUACGGAAUUAAAGAAUGAUCUGGAUAUGUUACUCAACAAUUAUACUGAUAAUAAAUAUUUAAAUUUGAGCUAAAUAUUACAAGAACUGAAAAACCAAAAAAACGAUUAGUGCGUUUUGAUAAGAAAGAUUGUAUAAAUAAUUAAAUAGAUAGAGAUUAUCCAAAAGAAAUAUUAUUA
rnacentral:misc_RNA from 1 species